CAGUGUUACAGCUCUUUUAGAAUUUGUCUAACAGACAAA
ensembl:snRNA U7 U7 small nuclear RNA